UCGAACGCCCCUUUUAUUAGGGGAGUGGCGAACGGGUGAGUAACACGUUGGAAUCUGCCCCGAACUCAGGGAUAACCCGCCUAACGGCGGAUUAAUACCGGAUAGUCCCGAAAGGGUAAAGUUUUUCGGUUCGGGAGGAGCCUGCGGCCUAUCAGCUAGUUGGUGAGGUAAAGGCUUACCAAGGCUAUGACGGGUAGCUGGUCUGAGAGGAUGACCAGUCACAAUGGGACUGAGACACGGCCCAUACUCC
rnacentral:rRNA from 1 species